rnacentral:misc_RNA from 1 species
AAAAUAAAACACAUUUAGGUGAAUUGAAUAGCCAAUUUUGUAUAUGCUACAAGAACCAUGUUAAUAUGGAAAAAUUAACAGGCAAAAGCAAAGCUAAGACAGAAUGAUGUUUCACUCUUUAGAUCCCUGACAAAGGUUUUCACCAACCAAAUUUGUUAUAGGGGUCGAGUGUUACCUGCUCGAUAUGGCUUCUUGCAUGAUAUUAACAGUAUUGGGGGCUUCACCUUCUGUAUCUUG